rnacentral:rRNA from 1 species
CGGCAAUGGAGGAAACUCUGACCGAGCAACGCCGCGUGAAUGACGAAGUACUUCGGUAUGUAAAGUUCUUUUAUCGAGGAAGAAAAGCAAAUGGCGAACCAUUUGUUUGCCGGUACUUGAUGAAUAAGCCCCGGCUAAUUAUGUGCCAGCAGCCGCGGUAAGACAUAAGGGGCAAGUGUUAUCCGGAAUUAUUGGGCGUAAAGGGUGCGUAGGCGGUCUAGUAAGUCAGUGGUGUAAUGUCAACGCUUAACGUUGUCCGGCUAUUGAAACUGCUAAACUUGAGUUAGAUAGAGGCGAGUGGAAUUCCAUGUGUAGCGGUAAAAUGCGUAAAUAUAUGGAGGAACACCAGAGGCGUAGGCGGCUCGCUGGGUCUUAACUGACGCUGAGGCACGAAAGCGUGGGGAGCAAACAGGAUUAGAUACCCUGGUAGUCCACGCCGUAAACGAUGAGUACUAAGUGUCGGGUUAAACCGGUACUGAAGUUAACACAUUAAGUACUCCGCCUGAGUAGUACGUACGCAAGUAUGAAACUUAAAGGAAUUGACGGGACUCCGCACAAGCGGUGGAUCAUGUUGUUUAAUUCGAAGAUACCCGAAAAACCUUACCAGGUCUUGACAUGUUUUUGCAAAAUGAUAGUAAUAUCGUGGAGGUUACCAGAAACACAGGUGGUGCAUGGUUGUCGUCAGCUCGUGUCGUGAGAUGUUAGGUUAAGUCCUAAAACGAGCGAAACCCUUAUCGUUAGUUGCCAGCACGUUAUGGUGGGGACUUUAACGAGACUGCCAAUGAUAAAUUGGAGGAAGGUGAGGAUCACGUCAAAUCAGCAUGCCCCUUUAGACCCUGGCUACAAACGUGAUACAAUGGCUGUUACAAAGGGUAGCUGAA